rnacentral:rRNA from 1 species
GAUGAACGCUGGCGGCGUGCCUAAUACAUGCAAGUCGAGCGAACGGACGAGAAGCUUGCUUCUCUGAUGUUAGCGGCGGACGGGUGAGUAACACGUGGAUAACCUACCUAUAAGACUGGGAUAACUUCGGGAAACCGGAUCUAAUACCGGAUGAUAUUUUGAACCGCAUGGUUCAAAAGUGAAAGACGGUCUUGCUGUCACUUAUAGAUGGAUCCGCGCUGCAUUAGCUAGUUGGUAAGGUAACGGCUUACCAAGGCAACGAUGCAUAGCCGACCUGAGAGGGGGAUCGGCCACACUGGAACUGAGACACGGUCCAGACUCCUACGGGAGGCAGCAGUAGGGAAUCUUCCGCAAUGGGCGAAAGCCUGACGGAGCAACGCCGCGUGAGUGAUGAAGGUCUUCGGAUCGUAAAACUCUGUUAUUAGGGAAGAACAUAUGUGUAAGUAACUGUGCACAUCUUGACGGUACCUAAUCAGAAAGCCACGGCUAACUACGUG